CUGCCCACAGAAACCAGCUGUUCCUGUUUCCUCUGUGUCCCGCGGUAGCACCGAGGAGGCUGGUGCACUGGGCUCCGUGGUUCCCGCCCGGGCCCGCCGCAGCCGGCUCUGAGGAAGCGGCUCUGAGGAAGCAGCGCACCGCCAGCCUCGUCCUCGCGCCGGCGACCCUGGGGCGGGUCACCUCGCCGGGUCGAGGCCUCCCGGGCAGGCCUGGCGGAGGGAGGAGCGAGGCCUGCCUGCGGGAGACCCGGGGAGGCGCGUCAUGUGCAAAAGGACACUGUGAUGGAGUUUAUUACACAUAACAGCAAAUUCCAAAGCAGGAGUGGCAGCAGAAAACAAUGAAGGCAAAGGAAGUAAGCCCGGGAAGAGAAAGCAGUUUUUGGACAACAGUUCCUUCACCUCAGCAUUUUUCAUGGAUUUCAAAUAAGUGGUGAGGUGGCAUAUUCUGAAGCAUCCAGAAGCUUUCUCUCCAACGAAAUUAUCUUCCUCAUUUUGCUUAAAUUUUACAUAAGUAGCUGAAUGGAGCUUUAAAGUGCUGACAAUCAAGAUCAACAAAGGCUGAGAAGUUACUACAUACAAUCCUGUGAUCCCUGAGCAUGAUACAUAGACUUUGAGAACUUUGAGGACAGGCUCUGUGCUCUGUUCAGUUUAGUGUCCUAAGGUCAAUGGCAUAUGGUGUUAUGCUAGGUACUUGGGAAACAGUCACUGUCUUUAGGAUGCUUAGUAGAUGUUCAAUAAAUGUUUAAGAUGUUGGGAGGAGCAGAUGUGAAAUGAUAACAAAAAGUAGUACAGGGUAAAUGUCCCAAGAGAAGUACAAAACUUGGAGAUGUAAAGGAGGAAAUUAUGGCUUUUCAGAGGGGUCAGGGAGAACCUUAUGAAGGGCAAGUAUUUGAAGAUAGAAAAGAUGGGCACUUAUUAUUAAAUGGAUGAAUACAAGCAUUAAAUUGCCAAAGGACAAAAAAUUCCAAGCAAACACAGAGGCAGGAAAGCAUUGCGAUUGUAGGAUUCAAGCAGAGGAAGAAAAGCGAAAUGUCUGGAGCAGCAGGUUGAGGAGACUGUGCUGUUGAGGCCUUGGACCCCAGUAGAUGUGAGGAGAGUGUGCUGGAUAUUUCUGUGAGCCUUAAUCCCACCUUGCUGGAGGUAAAUUUAAUUUGUCAUUUGGGUGUUCUCUCUUCUUCAGUCUCUCAGAGACUUUGUGGUUCCUUAAAACACAGGAGAAUUGCUCCUAAUUUUUGGCUCAUUAUGGUGGCCCUAUUGUUGAAGUUGUCAUGAACUGUUGAAUGGCAGUGACUCUGUUUCUCUGCUCUUCUUGGCCUGCAGGCAUCUUUCUUCACAAUGGAAGCCCUGUUGCCAAGGGUACAGCCUCCCUAGCUUCACCACACAGUUAGGCUCCGCAGAAUCCUUGUCUUCUUCCCCAGGUUCUGCUAGAAGUAGGACACAGGCCCCUUGAUGAUUGUGGAAACCACCACACCUUCCUGGUAUAGGGCAGUAGGGCAGUCUCCUUCUCUCCUUUGUUACUUCUGCUUCUACCUGUGUUCCUCCAGCAUAAUCCACUUCAGGAACCCAAGCUCUUGAAGACCAGGACACAAGCAGGUGUAGUAGGUCAUUUGCUUUCAAGCUUCUGCCACAGACUUCCCUGAAGUAAGGCGGCAAUUAGCCUGGCUACUUGCUUGGAAUAGGAGACGAAAACACUGGCAAUAAAAAGCACAAAUUAAUAGUUCAAUAAAUCAUCCUUCAUAUGCUUAACUGGGUGGACAGUGAGAAGGCACUUAAGGUUAAUGAAUAAUAGUAUUCAUACUUUAUUAUUCACUUUUUUUCCCAUUAGAUUAAGAAUGGAAAGAAAGAUGAAAAGCAAAAAGAAAGCACAGUAGAGGAUGCUAGAAAUUGGAGAUUUGGAGUAUACAGUCUUACCGGGAGCUCAUUUGUCAUGGCCAGCUUAACUCUGGGCUGCCCACUUCCUUUUUUCCUUCACUUCGUUUAAUCAAGGCUGAAGCAGGUGGCCCUAGUAAUAGGGUUGAGAGGUUUCCUGUUGCAUCUAGGUGGGAAUCAACUUUUCAUUUAUUCCUGGACAUUACAUUAACUUUGAAAGCUAUCUGUGGGGAUUUUUUAGCUGAGACCAUUUUCAAAUAGGCCUUCUGCGUAGGGAGAAAUUCACUAGGCCUCAAGUAACAGAAACCCAGAAAAAAAGUGACUUAAAAAAUUAGGGAUCCAAUUAUUCUUAUUUACAUCUGGAAGCAGAGUCAGGGCUCAUACUGAGGAUUUGUGAAGCCCCCAGGAUCCUCCUGUAUUUACGCUCAGUAAUCCUUACCAUGCUUUUGGGGCCUGGUGGUCACAAUACUGUGGCUCCACCUCCAACACGAUGUAUCUAGGAAGGAAGAAGGUAUGCACAAAGCAUCCAGUCACUUGAGUCUAUGUGCCUUUUAAAGAGCUUCCACAGAAGUUUCAUCCUUUGACUUUCACUUGUAUUUCAUUGGCCAGAACUGUGUUCCAUGGCCAUUCAUAGGUGCAGAGUGGGUGGGGAAAUAAAGUUUUCAGCUAGGCACAUUGCCACUGAGAAAAAUUCAGGUUGGUUUGUAAAGAAGAAAUGGAUAUUGAAUAGACAACUAACAGUGACUGCCACAUUCUGUACCAUUUUGUCCUUUUAUCCAAGUUAAUGUGCCUCCUGGGAGAGCAAACCAAAUUUUAGCGAACAUAAAUAAAUCUUCUAUCAAUGCAUCUCUCCUCUAUGCAUCCACCAAAAUGAAUCCACCAAAAAGAAAUAACUUUUGUAUUGGUAUCUCAUAUUAUGCAUAUUAUAAUUUCCCUCCAUUCACAUAGAUCAUACUGAAUUGAUUAUAUUUAGGGAUUCAUAAAUGUCGUUAUUUAGAAAGCUCCCUAUAAUGGCCAGUUCUUUGUUAAGUGUCUUUUAGUGCUUUCUUCUUCUCUCACUUUUUACUUUUCUAUGUGGGCUAUCAUCUCAUCUAUAUUGGUAGUUCAAUAACAACUUAUUUCCAACUUCCAUAUCUUUUUUUUUUUCUUUUUUUGAGAUGGAGUCCCACUCUGUCACCCAGGCUGGAGUGCAGUGGCACAAUCUCGGCUCACUGCAACCUCCACCUCCCUGGUUCAAGCAAUUCCCCUGCCUCAGCCUGCCGAGUAGCUGGGAUUACAGGCGCAUGCCACCAUGCCCAGCUAAUUUUUUUGUAUUUUUAGUAGAGAUAGGGUUUUACCAUGUUGGCCAGACUGGUUGCGAACAUCUCACCUCAGGCAAUCCACCCGCCUUGGCCUCCCAAAGUGCUGGGAUUACAGGUGUGAGCCACCGUGCCUGGCCUCCAACUUGCAUAUCUUUAUGAGCCAGUUAUUGCUUAUAACUGCAUUGUCCUAUACAUCCAACUUUAUUCAGAAUAAGAACUAGUUUCACAGAUGCCUUAAAUUCAAAUACCCAAGGGAUCUUAGUGUCUUUCUCUCCCAAGCUUUUACCUCCUUUGUGUUUAUUCACCUCGGUGAGCACACAUGCCCACGCCAGAAACCUGUGAGUCAUUCCUGAAUCUUCCCUUAUGUUUCUUCCUCCCUACGACCAUUUGAUGUUUAACGUUUUGUCCAGAUAGUGUACUGAAUAUUCUCAAAUGUGUCCUCUUCUCUCUAAUCCAUUGCUACCCCUUAGGUUUACCUAGUUUGGACUAGUUGUUUUUAGCUAUUUGUUGCCAUAUGAAUAGCUGUCUGUUAGAUUUCUUCAGUAACUGCAUGUCAUCCAGAAUCUGCAGCUCUCUGCGGUAAUUUUUAUAUUAUCGUGUUUUCAUUUGGAUGAUAUUUUAAAACAUGAACAAUUGUGGAUCACCUCAAUGGCUUCCUUGGAGCUGAGUACUGACAAUUGAUUUUGGUACCUGCACCAAAUCUGUCUCCUGCAUGGAAAUCUGUCUCCAUACAAGUGAUGUCAUCAUUCACAUUGAAUUAAUAAAUUAAUUUGAAUUGUAUUGUUUUUGUUAGUUUAUACACAUUUUUAUAGUUGCAAAAGAGCUAUAAGCAUAAGAUGCUUGCACUUAAUUUUAUAUCUAAAUAACAAUAUACUAACAAUAUUUAAGUGGAGUUUUGGCUCUAGGAUAAUUUAUCCUUUUAAAGAGGGUGCAUAUAUUACUGAAGUGGG
rnacentral:lncRNA from 1 species